rnacentral:rRNA from 1 species
AUUGAACGCUGGCGGCAGGCCUAACACAUGCAAGUCGAGCGGAUGAAGGGAGCUUGCUCCUGGAUUCAGCGGCGGACGGGUGAGUAAUGCCUAGGAAUCUGCCUGGUAGUGGGGGAUAACGUCCGGAAACGGGCGCUAAUACCGCAUACGUCCUGAGGGAGAAAGUGGGGGAUCUUCGGACCUCACGCUAUCAGAUGAGCCUAGGUCGGAUUAGUUAGUUGGUGGGGUAAAGGCCUACCAAGGCGACGAUCCGUAACUGGUCUGCGAGGAUGAUCAGUCACACUGGAACUGAGACACGGUCCAGACUCCUACGGGAGGCAGCAGUGGGGAAUAUUGGACAAUGGGCGAAAGCCUGAUCCAGCCAUGCCGCGUGUGUGAAGAAGGUCUUCGGAUUGUAAAGCACUUUAAGUUGGGAGGAAGGGCAGUAAGUUAAUACCUUGCUGUUUUGACGUUACCAACAGAAUAAGCACCGGCUAACUUCGUG